CUGAGGUGCAGCUGCGAAAAAUGCAACUGUAGGUAUCUUGCAGGAAUAGAACCUGCAGCGCAGCGCUCUAACCAACUGAGCUACAUAUAUUAAGGUGAUGCCAGGAUUGUCAAUGUAAGGUAGUUGGGGGCAUUUCGCUCGAUAGAGUUCAUAUUUGAAGAUGGAAAUCUAGAGUGUAAAUUUUAUACAUUUUUAUCGAAUGACAUGCCAUAUUAUAUAAUAACGUGAAGAAUUCAAACGCUUUCAUUGGUGGAGAGCCAUGAUCAAUAAUAGGACAGACACACGGAAUUACGUCACCCAAAACCUUAUCCAAUAGCAUUCCCUUAUUUGUACAGAUCAUGUACGCGUGGUAUUUGUAAAAUUUGGACUUUUUUAAAUUUCCAAAUGUUUGGGUGGAUAAAGAGUAAGCUAUUUACCUGUUUAAUUCGGGGGGGGGGGUCUUUUUAUUAUAUGAAACAAAUAGAUAAGAUUUUGCCGUAGUCUGUUCAGUUAUAGAUACCGGAGUAUAUGGCAUCAUAAUUCCAGACGUUAUCCACAUUAUGACGUCAUACUGUAUCUCUAUAACUGAACAGACAACAGCAAAAUCUUAUCUAUUUGUUAAAAUGAUAUCACCCUAAUAUAAUUACCUCAACUUGCCGUUGGAGCUCGACAACUGGAUUCUGUAGAUCAGUUGGUCAGAGCACUGCACCGGAAUCGCAGGGCCGAAGGUUCGAUUCCUGACACAGGGCUUAUAUAGUUGCAUUUUUUGCAGCUGCUGCUGGGCAUGUCUGAAAAUGUUUAAAAAUUACACCUGAGAUUUCCAUCUGCGAAAACCUUCAACAUUGUGUUAAUUCUAUCGAGUGAGAUACCCCAAAAUGCUGACUGAUUAGGAUUUAUGAGCUGUCAUGGUUUGUGCUUGAACCACCUGGAUGGGAUCAAGAUCUCUUCGCCAGACUGCUGACAUUUCGAAGUGUUUUUUCAGGCCUUAAAAUAUAUUGUACAGGGCCGUCUGACAAAAUGUCCGAUGACUUCUGUAUGAUGAUGUCCGAUGACCUUCAGUUCAGUUUGGUUCGGAAAUAAGUCUGAAUGACACAAAUCAGUAUGAGCACAAAAUUAUAAUGUAUUAAUUCUGAACCAAAUGUUGUGAAGAUAUUAAAUAAAAUGUGUCAUUCGCGUGCUUAUUUGCAAGCCAAAAUUAAUUUGUUUGGGUAUACAUUUUGAUUUACAAAGCUACAGUUUGGUCGGACACCAAUGCACUCGCGGGUCGGACAAACAAUAAACCUCAGUUUCACUUAGGUCGGACAGUAUGCCCGGUGGUUUCCUCUCUACGUCGGACAAUUUCACGAAUGCCGAAUGGGUCGGACAAUGUCCGUGCCCGACCGAUAUUUAAGGCCUGGUUUUAAUCUCUUUUAAGUAUUUCAUGCAGCUAUAGACUAAUGCAGACAAAUCACGGAAGCUUAUUGUCGAAUAAAUGGAACACGCACUGGCCCCCUUGAAGCAUUCGAAUUUUCUGAUUUCGAUGAAACGAUCGCAAUUUGAAAUGCCUCAAUUAACACUCGGGUUUGAUCAAGUACAAACCUGACAUUGACGAAUUAAGGCGGAAACUGUUUCAGUCAGAGUUGCAGAAAGUGUCAACCGUCCUCCAGGGAAGAAUUCAAGGUUUGAAACCUUCCUCAAAACAUUGUGAAUUAAUAUGGCUUUUUCAAGUUGCAAAAUAUAUAAAUUACAUGAACUUUUCAUAAUACUUUUCUUUACCCUUAUUUAUUCAAACAGUAUUUCCAUUUUUUUGGCUAUUCCC
rnacentral:lncRNA from 1 species